CGGUGUUCAACUGGCGUGUCCGCGGGACGUCCUGCCGGUGGGCUUAGCCCGCAAGGGCGGCCCAACUUCAAAUCCCAUCGCGGUGCUCUUCACUGAGUGUCGAGGUGGGCCGGCACGUUUACUUUGAACAAAUUAGAGUGCUUAAAGCAGGCUAAAACUUCGCCUGAAUACUGUGUGCAUGGAAUAAUGGAAUAGGACCUCGGUUCUAUUUUGUUGGUUUUCGGAACCCCGAGGUAAUGAUUAAUAGGAACGGAUGGAGGCAUUCGUAUUGCGACGUUAGAGGUGAAAUUCUUGGAUCGUCGCAAGACGGACAGAAGCGAAAGCAUUUGCCAAAAACGCUUUCAUUGAUCAAGAACGAAAGUUAGAGGUUCGAAGGCGAUCAGAUACCGCCCUAGUUCUAACCAUAAACGAUGCCAGCUAGCGAUCCGUCGACGUUCCUCCGAUGACUCGACGGGCAGCUUCCGGGAAACCAAAGCUUUUGGGUUCCGGGGGAAGUAUGGUUGCAAAGCUGAAACUUAAAGGAAUUGACGGAAGGGCACCACCAGGAGUGGAGCCUGCGGCUUAAUUUGACUCAACACGGGAAACCUCACCAGGCCCGGACACCGGAAGGAUUGACAGAUUGAGAGCUCUUUCUUGAUUCGGUGGGUGGUGGUGCAUGGCCGUUCUUAGUUGGUGGAGCGAUUUGUCUGGUUAAUUCCGAUAACGAACGAGACUCUAGCCUGCUAACUAGGCGUAUUUUCGACAUCUCAAAGGUCCGUCGUCCCGGCCCUCGGGUCGUGGGCGUGCGCGAUUUUUACUGUCGGCGUACUAUCAAUUCUUCUUAGAGGGACAGGUGGCUUCUAGCCGCACGAGAUUGAGCAAUAACAGGUCUGUGAUG
rnacentral:rRNA from 1 species